GCUGUAGGCAGCCAUGGGCCUGAUCUGGCCCCUGGACUUUCACAGGGCUCAGCAGACUCUGAGGAAGGGAGGGAACCAUGAUCCCAGAGAGGCUCCAAGACAGAUUGGAAAGACCAUCCUAGGUGGGGGAGUUACAAAGGAUUCUUACAGUUUGUUUGGCUGAAAUAUGGAUCAAAAGUUUUAUGCUCUACUGGUCUAGAGGUCUUAGUUCCAGAGAAAGAAACGCUUCCACAAGGAGACACAACAACGAUUCCAUUGAACCGGAGGUUAAAACUACCACUCAGCCACUUUGGGUGCUUCAUGACGCUGAGUCAACAGGCAAAAAGGGAGUUACUCUAUAGGCUGGGGUGAUUUACCUGACUGCCAUUGGGGAAAUUGGACUACUACUCUGCAAUAGAGGUUGUCCAGAUCAGCUCGUCCGACAGUUUCAUGUGAUCACAGUUAUCCACAGCCCCUCAUGAAGGCACAUUCUGUCCAGACGGGAAGAAACCAUUGGCCUACCAGCUUAAAAUGCCAGCAGAGUUCAGUGCAUACCUCCUUGGACAGAUACAUCUGCCCUGCACACUCAGUUGGCAGCCCUGACUCAGGCACCAUCCCCUGCAUGCAACAUGUUCACCUUGGGUACACGUGGCACUGCUCACUGUUGCUGGGGCCUGUGGAUGGAAGUCCCACCUUCCUGGUCAAUAUAAGAAGACUGGAGAGAGCUAAGAGUUGGUGGUGUUUGGGGGAGUGUGCAGCUCUCAUACAGAGGAAAGCCUUGUCUUCCCAUCCAAUGGGCAGGGGGGAAAGAGCCCUUUCUCUUCCUUAAAAUCAAAGGAGGGGACACCAAGUGACCCUUUCUUAAAAGUCCCAUUAUGCAUGUUUCCUGGAUCAAAAAAACAUUUGCCCACAUUUACAUUUCUUUUUGGAAAGUUUUAAAAACCUUUUGAAGGUG